ensembl:lncRNA
CCAAGAUCAUGUAGCUGGUGAGUGUCUUGGAUUUUGUCUGAUCCCAAAGAUUUUGUUUUUAUGGUGGUGAUAACAUAUUACCCAUGUUCUUAAUGGAGAGCAAUUAGAUAAGAACUUGAGAGACGAGACACCAAAUACCAAACUGAGUCCAGAGACUAGAGAAGGACUGUUCAUGGAAAAUGGAGCCAAGAGCCAGAAAUUGAGCUGAGACAGGAGCGAUUAAGUGAAGCAGGAUAGGGCUCACACUGUUGAGUGGAGAGGCCUGACAGCAUCAUCUUGUCUCACCUGCAGUGGGUAAGCCUGGAUGACUAUCAGUAGAUCAGGCAAAAACUCAGGGUAGACUUUUGAAAAAAGAAGGGAAAUAGAAACUUAGCUGGAAGGGUAGAUGAAGGUAGGAAUGAGCUUUUUAGUGAAUGUUGAGAAACAGGAGGCAGUAGUGACUAGAGCAGCGAGGUUCAUGGGCAAGGAUUUGAGAGAAGAAUGGGGGGAGAAAAUCAGAUAGCUACAGUUCCUUCUAUUAUUACUGACCCUCCUAUCUCAGGUCCCCAAAAGGGUCCUCCUGCCUUGUGUCAUUGGAACCAACAGAAUGAGGCUGAGCUGGGUUCAGAAGUAGAGGGACGCUGUGCUCUCCCGUCAAAGAAUGGAGAGGUGGCAACUCGUGCCUCUGGAGUCCACACACUUCCCAAGAGGCCCUGGGCGGGGCUGCACAGAGGGAUCUUGUCAGCAGUGAUGGGGCGGAGAUCUUGCAGCGUGGGUACGGCUGCUGUGCGCCAAGCUCCAGGUUGCACUGCCGGGAGCAGGGGGUCUGCACACGGCCCACUCUGCCGCCAUCUUGAAUUGCAGUGUUGGGAGCAGAGCUUCUGCACAGGGCCAGCCAAGCUGAGGUUUCCGAACAGCCAUUUUUCAUAGAAACUCUCGGCUGAAGUGAUGCGUGCGAGGCAGCACUCCAUGAGCAAGUGAAACUAGACAAAGCACAAAGGAAAGGAAAGACGUGGGGGAAAAAAAGGAACGUAAAAUGUAUGGAUUGGUGAUAUCACACAGGUGGGUGACUGCAACCUUGAGAAUCUGAUCUGCAGGUAGGAAUUUUACCAUUUGGGAACUUGAGUUCUUAGACUGUCAACCGAUCAGCCUUAGCUGUGGUCUCUAUAAAUAAAGUUCUGGAGUGACACUUAAUUCUGGACUCUUGGAAGAUCUUUGACUAUGAGAUCGAUCCUGUUUUCUGGUGCCCUUUUAGGGCGUAUCUACUGUCGAGAAACAUCUGUAGGGUAAGUUAUGCUUUCUGGUGCAUAUUUGAAUUUUGUUUACCUGAUUCACAGAGUAUCAUGUUAAACUGUUGUAGAAUAAUGAAUGUAAGUGUUUGGCAUUUUUAGAGUUCUUUUAGAUUUGG